rnacentral:tRNA from 1 species
GGGCCCAUAGCUCAGUCGGUAGAGCAACUGACUUUUAAUCAGUAGGUCUCUGGUUCGAAUCCAGAUGGGCUCACCA